ACGAGCGGCGAACGGGUGAGUAACACGUGGGUGACCUGCCCUCCACUCUGGGAUAAGCCCGGGAAACUGGGUCUAAUACCGGAUAGGACCUCUCAACGCAUGUUGGGUGGUGGAAAGUUUUUUCGGUGGGGGAUGGGCCCGCGGCCUAUCAGCUUGUUGGUGGGGUGAUGGCCUACCAAGGCGGUGACGGGUAGCCGGCCUGAGAGGGCGACCGGCCACACUGGGACUGAGACACGGCCCAGACUCCUACGGGAGGCAGCAGUGGGGAAUAUUGCGCAAUGGGCGGAAGCCUGACGCAGCGACGCCGCGUGGGGGAUGACGGCCUUCGGGUUGUAAACCUCUUUCGCCAGGGACGAAGCUAACGUGACGGUACCUGGAGAAGAAGCACCGGCCAACUACGUGCCAGCAGCCGCGGUAACACGUAGGGUGCGAGCGUUGUCCGGAAUUAUUGGGCGUAAAGAGCUCGUAGGCGGUGUGUCGCGUCGGCCGUGAAAACUUGGGGCUUAACUCUGAGCGUGCGGUCGAUACGGGCAUCACUUGAGUUCGGCAGGGGAGACUGGAAUUCCUGGUGUAGCGGUGAAAUGCGCAGAUAUCAGGAGGAACACCGGUGGCGAAGGCGGGUCUCUGGGCCGAUACUGACGCUGAGGAGCGAAAGCGUGGGGAGCGAACAGGAUUAGAUACCCUGGUAGUCCACGCCGUAAACG
rnacentral:rRNA from 1 species